AACGAACGCUGGCGGCAUGCCUAACACAUGCAAGUCGAACGAUACCUUCGGGUCUCGUGCCGCACCGGUGCGUAACGCGUGGGGACCUGCCCUUAGGUUCGGAAUAACUUCCCGGAAGGGGUGCUCAUACCGGAUAAUGUCUUCGGACCACAGAUGUAUCGCCUUUGGAUGGGCGCGCGUUGGAUUAGCUGGUUGGUCGGGUAAAACCCUACCAAGGCGCCGAUCCCUAGAUGGUCUGAGAGGAAGAGCAGCCACACUUGGACUGAGACACGGCGCAGACUCUUACGGGAGGCAGGAGAGGGGAAUAUUGGAAAAUGGGGGGAAGGAUGAUGGAGCUAUGCUGGGUGAGUGAUGAAGGCCUGAGGGAAGGAAAGCUCGUUUAUCCCGGAUGAUAAUGACAGUACCGGGAGAAUAAGCGCCGGCUAACUCCGUG
rnacentral:rRNA from 1 species